rnacentral:rRNA from 1 species
GACGAACGCUGGCGGCGUGCCUAAUACAUGCAAGUCGAGCGGACGAAUCGAAAGCUUGCUUUUGAUUCGUUAGCGGCGGACGGGUGAGUAACACGUGGGCAACCUGCCCUGUAGACGGGGAUAACACCGAGAAAUCGGUGCUAAUACCGGAUAACACGAAAUGUCGCAUGACGUUUCGUUGAAAGACGGCGCAAGCUGUCGCUACAGGGUGGGCCCGCGGCGCAUUAGCUAGUUGGUGAGGUAACGGCUCACCAAGGCGACGAUGCGUAGCCGACCUGAGAGGGUGAUCGGCCACACUGGGACUGAGACACGGCCCAGACUCCUACGGGAGGCAGCAGUAGGGAAUCUUCCGCAAUGGACGAAAGUCUGACGGAGCAACGCCGCGUGAGCGAAGAAGGCCUUCGGGUCGUAAAGCUCUGUUGUUAGGGAAGAACAAGUAACGCAGUAACUGGCGUUACCGUGACGGUACCUAACGAGAAAGCCACGGCUAACUACGUG